CUCGUAGGCGGCUCGUCGCGUCCGGUGUGAAAGUCCAUCGCUUAACGGUGGAUCCGCGCCGGGUACGGGCGGGCUUGAGUGCGGUAGGGGAGACUGGAAUUCCCGGUGUAACGGUGGAAUGUGUAGAUAUCGGGAAGAACACCAAUGGCGAAGGCAGGUCUCUGGGCCGUUACUGACGCUGAGGAGCGAAAGCGUGGGGAGCGAACA
rnacentral:rRNA from 1 species